AACCGGGGCUUUGUCUUGACUGGAAUCCGUAAGCUCUUUAGUAUCUUGUACCCCGAAAAUUGGCAGGGCGCUUGCUCUGCCCAUUUUCGUUUUUAAGUGUCGUAAGACAAUCAGUGGAGCUAUAGA
rnacentral:sRNA from 1 species